UUUCCAGACUCCUACGGGAGGCAGCAGUGAGGAAUAUUGGUCAAUGGGCGGGAGCCUGAACCAGCCAAGUCGCGUGAGGGAAGAAGGUACUGAGUAUUGUAAACCUCUUUUGCCAGGGGACAAAGGCGACCACGGGUGGCCGUAAGAGGGUACCUGGAGAAAAAGCAUCGGCUAACUCCGUGCCAGCAGCCGCGGUAAUACGGAGGAUGCGAGCGUUAUCCGGAUUUAUUGGGUUUAAAGGGUGCGUAGGCGGGCUUUUAAGUCAGCGGUAAAAAUUCGGGGCUCAACCCCGUCCGGCCGUUGAAACUGGGGGCCUUGAGUGGGCGAGAAGAAGGCGGAAUGCGUGGUGUAGCGGUGAAACGCAUAGAUAUCGCGCAGAACUCCGAUUGCGAAGGCAGUAUGCCGGCUCCACACUGACGCUGAGGCACGAAAGCGUGGGUAUCGAACAGGAUUAGAUACCCCAGUAU
rnacentral:rRNA from 1 species